rnacentral:tRNA from 1 species
UAUAUCUUGGUGUAUGAUGCACGGCGGCCUUUGAUGCUGGCGGUGACAGUUUAAUUCUGUUAGAUAUAA